rnacentral:rRNA from 1 species
UACGGGGGGGCAAGGCGUUGUUCGGAAUUACUGGGCGUAAAGGGCUCGUAGGUGGCCAACUAAGUCAGACGUGAAAUCCCUCGGCUUAACCGGGGAACUGCGUCUGAUACUGGAUGGCUUGAGUUUGGGAGAGGGAUGCGGAAUUCCAGGUGUAGCGGUGAAAUGCGUAGAUAUCGGAGGAACACCGGUGGCGAAGGCGGCAUCCUGGACCAACACUGACACUGAGGAGCGAAAGCCAGGGGAGACAAACGGG